CCCCAGACUCCUACGGGAGGCAGCAGUGGGGAAUAUUGCACAAUGGGGGAAACCCUGAUGCAGCGACGCCGCGUGAGCGAUGAAGUAUUUCGGUAUGUAAAGCUCUAUCAGCAGGGAAGAAGAUGACGGUACCUGACUAAGAAGCCCCGGCUAACUACGUGCCAGCAGCCGCGGUAAUACGUAGGGGGCAAGCGUUAUCCGGAUUUACUGGGUGUAAAGGGAGCGUAGACGGCGGUGCAAGCCAGAUGUGAAAGCCCGGGGCUCAACCCCGGGACUGCAUUUGGAACUGUAUGGCUGGAGUGUCGGAGAGGCAGGCGGAAUUCCUAGUGUAGCGGUGAAAUGCGUAGAUAUUAGGAGGAACACCAGUGGCGAAGGCGGCCUGCUGGACGAUGACUGACGUUGAGGCUCGAAAGCGUGGGGAGCAAACAGGAUUAGAUACCCGGGUAA
rnacentral:rRNA from 1 species